rnacentral:rRNA from 1 species
CUACCAUGCAGUCGUGCGGGGUCCAACCAGUGGCAACACUGGGGAAGACCUAGCGGCGAACGGGUGAGUAACACGUGAGAAACCUACCCCGAAGACUGGGAUAACUCCGGGAAACCGGAGCUAAUACCGGAUGCCCUCAUCAGGCCGCAUGGUCAGGUGAGGAAAGGUUAAUUCUGCUUCGGGAGGGUCUCGCGGCCUAUCAGCUUGUUGGUGAGGUAACGGCUCACCAAGGCGUCGACGGGUAGCUGGUCUGAGAGGACGAUCAGCCACACUGGGACUGAGACACGGCCCAGACUCCUACGGGAGGCAGCAGUGGGGAAUCUUGCGCAAUGGGCGAAAGCCUGACGCAGCAACGCCGCGUGGGGGAUGACGGCUUUCGGGUUGUAAACCCCUUUCAGCAGGGACGAUAGUGACGGUACCUGCAGAAGAAGCCCCGGCCAACUACGUGCCAGCAGCCGCGGUAAUACGUAGGGGGCAAGCGUUGUCCGGAUUUAUUGGGCGUAAAGGGCUCGUAGGCGGCUUAGCAAGUCGGAUGUGAAAAUUCCAGGCUCAACCUGUAAACGCCAUUCGAUACUGCUAUGGCUUGAGACCGGCAGGGAACACGGAAUUCCUGGUAUAGCGGUGAAAUGCGCAGAUAUCAGGAGGAACACCAGCGGCGAAUGCGGUGUUCUGGGCCGGAACUGACGCUGAGAGCGAAAGCGUGGGAGCGACAGAUUAGAUACCUGUAGU